CGGGCAAAGGAUCGAGCGAGCAAUGCUAUGAGGCAACCUCGUACCCAGGAUCCCAAAGAAAUAUCCUGGGUACGAGGUUGGCUAUAUGAGGCUGUAUAAGUAAAAAAGAGCUUGGGUUCCUGAUUCAUUUACUACAAAUUGCAUCGUGUAACUUCGUGAUUAUAAUCUUGACUACAAUAUUCAAUAAGUUCCUUUCUUGUGUCUAUUUCCUGUAUUUCUGUUUCCAUGUAGUUGCAGGAAUUGUUUUCUUUUCAUAAAUGCAGCUUGCAUGAAUUUAUUUUCAAAUCUCCCCCGAUCCAAGAUAUCUAAUGGUCCAGCCCUAACCAUUGAACUAUAAGUAAACUGGAAGGGG